rnacentral:rRNA from 1 species
AUUGAAUGCUGGCGGCAUGCUUUACACAUGCAAGUCGAACGGCAGCGCGGGCUUCGGCCUGGCGGCGAGUGGCGAACGGGUGAGUAAUGCAUCGGAACGUGCCCAGUAGUGGGGGAUAGCCCGGCGAAAGCCGGAUUAAUACCGCAUACGACCUGAGGCUGAAAGCGGGGGACCAAAGGUCUGCGCGCGAUUGGGGCGGCCGUGGUGGGGUUAUCGAGUUGUUGGGGUAAAGGCUUACCACGGCGACGAUCCGUGGCUGGUCUGAGAGGACGACCAGCCACACUGUGGCUGAGACACGGCCCAGACUCCUACGGGAGGCAGCAGUGGGGAAUUUUGGACAAUGGGGGCAACCCUGUGCCAGCCAUGCCGCGUGCGGGAAGAAGGCCUUCGGGUUGUAAACCGCUUUUGUUCGGGAAGAAAUCCUCUGGGCUAAUACCCCGGGGGGAUGACGGUACCGGAAGAAUAAGCACCGGCUAACUACGU